CAAAUGUGGAAAUCAUUUUGUGAAGGGAAAAAGGUGCAAUGAAUGGUGAUUAACCCUGGGAAAAUAUACAGUAGAGCAGAACAAUGGACCAUCCUAGCAGUGGAAACUGCACAUGUUAUCAGCACAAGGGAUGGGGUACCUUGUCUCUAUCAUCCAAAACAUCGCAGACAAGAUCAUCUGGAUCUAGGAUGCCUUGAUCAGUAAUGGUCUCUAAAACUUGCACAUCUACUCUAUCCGCUGCCGCCUAAAACACAUAAUAAAAUAAUGAUCAUAUAA